rnacentral:rRNA from 1 species
GAUGAACGCUGGCGGCGUGCUUAACACAUGCAAGUCGAACGGGAUCGGCUGGAGCUUGCUCCGGCCGUGAGAGUGGCGAACGGGUGAGUAAUGCGUGACCGACCUGCCCCAUACACCGGAAUAGCUCCUGGAAACGGGUGGUAAUGCCGGAUGCUCCGACAUGACGCAUGUCGUGUCGGGAAAGAUUCAUCGGUAUGGGAUGGGGUCGCGUCCUAUCAGCUUGAUGGCGGGGUAACGGCCCACCAUGGCUUCGACGGGUAGCCGGCCUGAGAGGGCGACCGGCCACAUUGGGACUGAGAUACGGCCCAGACUCCUACGGGAGGCAGCAGUGGGGAAUAUUGCACAAUGGGCGCAAGCCUGAUGCAGCGACGCCGCGUGCGGGAUGACGGCCUUCGGGUUGUAAACCGCUUUUGACUGGGAGCAAGCCCUUCGGGGUGAGUGUACCUUUCGAAUAAGCA